rnacentral:rRNA from 1 species
UACGGGAGGCAGCAGUGAGGAAUAUUGCACAAUGGGCGCAAGCCUGAUGCAGCCAUGCCGCGUGUAUGAAAAAGGCCUUCGGGUUGUAAAGUACUUUCAGUCGUGAGGAAGGUGUUAAGGUUAAUAACCUUAGCAAUUGACGUUAGCGACAGAAGAAGCACCGGCUAACUCCGUGCCAGCAGCCGCGGUAAUACGGAGGGUGCGAGCGUUAAUCGGAAUUACUGGGCGUAAAGGGCACGCAGGCGGUUAAUUAAGUUGGAUGUGAAAUCCCCGGGCUUAACCUGGGAAUGGCAUUCAAGACUGGUUAGCUAGAGUCUUGUAGAGGGGGUAGAAUUCCAUGUGUAGCGGUGAAAUGCGUAGAGAUGUGGAGGAAUACCGGUGGCGAAGGCGGCCCCUGGACAAAGGCUGACGCUCAUGUGCGAAAGCGUGGGGAGCAAAC